GUUAAAGGGACACGGCCACCGGCAGCGGUAAUGGAGCGCGCCGGGAAAGCACCGGGAAAGCACCGGGAGAGGCACCGGGAGAGGCGAGGGCACGGCAGGAUGGAGAUCCUGGUGCGGAUCCUGCUGCAGACCCCACUCACCCUGGCAGCCACCUCAGGCUUUGCUGACAGCCCCUGGGGCACAGCGGUGACACCGGACGCUGCCCCAGCACCCCCAGGGACAGCAGGCACACCCAGGCCAAGCAGCUGUGCCCACAUCUGGGGGGGAAUCACCUGCCCAAGCCACGUCUGGCACUGCUGGGGUUGUCCCACUGCUGUCCCCCAUGUCCCAGCACCCCCAGCUCAGCACCCAGCUUGGGCCCAGCUUCACCAGCAGCCACAUUUAACCCCAUCCUCUGUGCCUUCCCCUGGCACGGCCCCAUGUGAGCAGCAGCUCCGGCCCUGGGGAGGCUGAGGGAGCUGCCUGCAUCCGGCCCUGCCUCCUGCUUCCAUUAUUGAUAAGGCAGGUUGGGUUUCACACGGGCAGCUGGCAGGGGGCUUGGGGGAGGAGGCUGUGCACACACUCACACUCACACUCACACUCACACUCACACCCUCAGCACACCCUGCCCACUGGGGGACAAAUGCUGGAGGGACAGUGGCUGCAGGGCUGUGUGGCCUCAUCCAGGUGCCACGUGUGUCCUGAGGAACUGCAGGUCUUUCCCCCACAGUCCCUUGUCCCCCAGCAGUGUCCUGCCCCCAAGGAGGUGUUCCAGGGGAGCUGACCAGCAGCAGCCUGGGAGCAAAGGCUGUGGUGUGGCCCUUGGGGACACACUCUGCACCCAGAGCAGGCCAAGUGCCACUGGGAGACAGCGGGACCCGCGUGGUCCCUGAUGUCCCCUGGUCCUGGCAUAGGCUUGUUGUCACUAAUCCCUGCCACCUCCGGGACUCAGAGGGGACAAGCUGCUGUGGCCCCAUGUCCUGGAGACAUUUUCAUGCCAAGAAAGCUGAAAACUCCAAGAGGACUCAUCACUGGCGAAGAGGAGACUCCACGUGUGUCUGUGUCCCUGAGGAAGGGGACACAACAGGGGUGCCACCAGUCCAGGGGGUGGUGCUGAUGUGGGGUGCUGCUCACCCCACCUCACCCCACAGCCAGAGGUCACCACCACGACCCUCCUGACCCCCUUGCCCCACACGGCUGUCCCUCCUGAGCGCCGGGAGGGCGGUGACCAAUGUCCCCACUCUGAGGCGGGCCAGCAGCCGGGAGCCAAGUGCCACUGCUCCCUCUGCUCCUGUGCCACCGCAGGCGCCGGGAGGCCGUGCCGAGCGCUCCCGGUGCGGCGGGAGCAUCGCGGGGCCGCGCUGGACCGCAGUGCGCCGGGGCCGUCGCCGCAGCAACCGCCGUCGCCUAGCGCCGCUGUCUCCCGGUAACCGGUCGCCUAGCAAUGGGGGAUUUUUCACAGCUCGGGAUGAAGAGUUGAAAGUUAUUUUUAGCCCGGGCUGCGAAUCAAUAAGCGGCUCCAUUCGCUGCCCCGCAGGAUGCACGGACGGGCCCGGCGGUGGGGGGAGCAGGGGGGUCUGUCCAGCCCUGGGCUCGGCCCCUCGGUGCUGACCCCGCCGGGCUCAGAGCUCUUCCCUGCCGAGGAGCUGAUUCCCCUUCGGGUUCCCCCCAUCCGGGCUUCUGUGGGGGUCCUCACGGGGAG